rnacentral:lncRNA from 1 species
UCGUGUGCUUGGAACCAGAGCAAGUGAUUCAAUGCCAUUACCAAUUCCUGAUAAUAUGGCGACUUCACAGAACACAACGACGAAUUUUAUAGAAAUUCAACAAAAAAAAAGUAAAGAAGACUUUGAUCAGGCAGUUCAAGAGGCCAUUAGAAAACAGAUGCCGGAUAUACUAAAGGAACUAAGGGAAGACUUACGUCGAGAGACGAUUGAGGUAAUUAGCAUUUAUAUAUAAAUCAAUAUUCAUAUUUUCUUUGUAAUUUCAAUUUUUUUACAUUAGGGUCAGUCGAGCCAAGGACACAAC